rnacentral:lncRNA from 10 species
AGAUGUGUGAUCCCGCCACCUCCCCGGACCCUGGCGGUUGUCGCUGAGUUGGCGACCGCGGGAGACGCUGCUGAGGCGGCUUCGGUUGCGGGUCGGAACGGCGCUGCUCUGCGGGGCCGGUCCAGGCUGGCAGCUGCCGGCGCUUGGCGGUGAGGGCGGGCUCCCGAGUGGCCCCCCACCGAAGGCGGUGGGACCAGCGGCUGAGGCCAGGAUGCCGUCCAGGCGGCGCGGCGGCUCCUCACUCAUCCCAGAGAUGGGGUUUCACCGUGUUGGCCGGGAUGGUCUCCAUCUCCUGACCUCGUGAUCCGCCCGCCUCGGCCUCCCAAAGUGCUGGGAUUACAGACUGAGCAAGUGGAGUAGCAGAACCAGGAGCCUCUUCCAUACAUGAGGAAAGAUUGCUGCCUUUUCAGCAGAAGGGAAAUUCCUAGGAUUGGCUGUCCCCUGCCAAGCUUGGUGGAGCGUCUGCACCUUGGCUGCGCCGCCUGUGCAUUUGCCAGUUUCCUCCCACUGAGAGGAUGGAGGUGUCCGCACAGCUUUGGGCCUCGUGAGGGAUCUGCCUCCUGAGCAAAGAGCUCUUGAUCCCGAUUUCAUGCACAGCCCUGCAGUAAGGAGCCCAGAAGGAACAUGUGUUUCCUGUUAAAACUCCUCUUGUUCUCUUUUCUUACAUUAUGACGUUUGUUUUCAAGGAGAGGGUUUAAAAAUGGGAUCCUGUAAGCAGACUUGGGCAGUCUCCUUUUGAAAUAGGUUGUCUGUACAUGUUCUAAUGUUUUGUAGAACACGUGUGCCUGUUUAAGUGUAUUGAUGUGAAUAAUAUUAAAUAUCCUAAUUAUUUAAUUCAUUGUAUUGUUUCUGAGAAGUUGGGAAAUUACCAUUAUACAUUUACAACCUAAUGACUUUUGUAUUUUAUUUUUCAAAAUAAAAGCUUUCAAUGUGAAGCAUUCUGGU